rnacentral:lncRNA from 1 species
AGAAGCUGAUAUUUUACAUUUUAAAUGUCUCUUUUGUUUGAUUUUUUCUGUGUUUGAUUAUGAAACCCCAUCUACUAACAUAUUAAAACAGUGUACAAAAAGUGAUCUUACUAGAACAUACAUUCUACUUAUGUUGAGCUUUCUAAUAUUCCAUCUUUCCAAGGCAGAGGGACAUUAUUCUUGAUGUAAUAAUUUUUUAAUUUAAUAUCUCUGGAUAUUUUUCAUAUUUAGUUUGCCUACAACAGUUAACAACUUUAAGCUUAUACAUUAACUUUAGUUAUAACUUAAUUAUUAAUGAUUUGAUUUAUAGAUUUUUAAAGCAAUACAAGAUUGAAUUUAGCAUAAGGCUAAAUUUCUGCUCUGGAGACAAAAAAGGAAGAUAGCGAAAAUGACCAGUCAAAAUAAAGAUUGAAGAGACAAAAAAUUGUGUAUAUCUAGGUGUAGAUGAUUUAUUUUCCUUUUCUUAUAACAAAACAAAAAAUAUUAUUAAUUUAUGGGAAUAACCUGUAACUCCAAAAUCAUUACAGAAGUUUAAUGUUUGCUCUGAGAAGUUGAAUGAACAAAUUUAUUAAAUGUGUUCAUUCUUAUUCGUCAUUGAAGUACAACUUGGUAAACUACAGAACACAUCAAAUUCAGUUGUAAAAAUUUGAGUAACAAAGUUAAACAUGGUGUAUCAUAAAAAAAGAAAAACCGAUAGACCACCUAGAGGUAAAGUUAAUGAGAAUGAAAUACGAGCAGCUGUUAAUGCAGUUCUCUAUGGUGGUACAGUUUAUCGUGUAUCUAAAGAGAGGGAAAUCAAUUUAAUGACACUUAAGAGGUAUGUAAGGAAAUGUCGAUUAAAUCCUAAUACAGUCUUCAAACCUAACUUCAUUUCCAUGCAAAUCUUUACCAACGAAGAAAAAACAUCUUUAUCAGAUUAUCUUUUAAGGGCCUCAAAACUUCACUUUGGAUUGUCAACCAAAACAACACAAAAACUUGCCUAUGAAUUUGCAAUGACUCUUUUGAAUGACGCAUUCAUGAGUCGAGGAGAAGUUUACAAAUUGCUGGGAAACAGUGGCUUUGUGGUUAUAUGUUACGUAGGAAUGAGUUAUAGUUAAACAAUCUUUACGAAAUCCAGAAGCUACUGGUAUGGCACGAGCAACUGCUUUUAAUUGUUAAACAGUCGGAGAUUUUUUCACCAAUCUAAAAGAUGUUCUUCUACAACACAAGUUUCACAAAACAUAUAUAAUUUUGAUAAGACACCCAAGUUGCAAACAAUAUUGGCGUAAUAUUGGCGCGAUAUUGGUUAAUCUCCGCCAAAAUAUCCGAUAUUGCGCCAAUAUUGUCAACCAAUAUUACGCCAAUAUUGUCUUACCAAUGUUGGCAAACAAUAUUGCGCCAAUAUUAUCCCAUUAUCGUUUUACUAAUAUUGUUAUGCCAAUAUUGGCGAAAUAUUGUUUGGCAUUUUGGCUUUAUACUAAAUUUUACAUAUUGGUACGCAUGCGUAACAUUAAGGAAUAUUCAUAAUGUCCUUAAUCUGUUUAAAUGUUUUUGUUAAAUGUAUAUAAUAGCAUCUUUUACAUAAACAGACAUCCUUAUGUUAUUAUUUUUUUU